AUAAAUUAUUUUAAAAGUUUUGUUACGAUAGCGGAAGCCACGUGACGCUGGUAACACGUAAUGAGUUUCAAGAAGGAUCGGGGAACGUCACGAAGAAUCCAGUAUUUACUAGAUGCCCCUAUUCCUGUAUAUAAGCGCAC